CUGUAUCCAGGCAAUGUGACGAGCACCUGUGGUCAACACUGGUUAAUUAGUUGUUAAACCGGUUAAAUAUAAUAUUUACAAAAUACUAUAGCCAUAUUCUAACGUAGCUAUAUAACUAUAUUCUAACGGUUACGCAUUUAAGACGAAACGCUCUUCACUGGCGGAGAUAGUUUCGAACGCCCGCCAUUUUUGUCGAAAUAAUGCGCCAAAUAAACUGAUGUCUUGUUUCGUUUAUUUAAGCCAACCCAAAGGAGCUAACAAAUAAAUCAUCAGUCCUCAAAAGAAUCAACCAGUGAAGGAGAAAAACAUUCAAAGCCGUAAAUUGUCAAAUCCAUCAGUUGGAAGAUGGAUGUCAAAGUCUCAGACAACGAAAGGCUUCCAGAGUUAAGAAAAGACCACUUCAACAAAAACAAUCAUGCAAAGAAUGACUGCAAAAAAUCUUUUCGCAGAUGCGUUUCAUCAUCAAGUGUAUAAGGAAAAGGGACCUGGGUACAGAGACUAGAUGUAAAUGUCAAGGACUGAAAUGAGCAAUUCAAUGGUUUCUUACUAAUUGUGUUUAUAUGCGUCAUAAGAAAUUAAAACUGUUAUAAAUGGAUGUGUAGUAAUGAUGAAAUUAUCACCCUGUGUCGAAUGACAUUAACUAUUCAUGAAUUUAGUUCAUGAAUGACAUUUUGAAAAAAUAAUGUUCAUGAACUGUCAAGCUCAUUUACUAAGCAGGAGUUCAUGAACUUAGUGGGAGUUCAUGAACAUGAUUUGUCCAAAUUGUCAUUCAUGAAUAGUUCAUGUUAUUCUCAUCAAACGCUUGACGUCACUGACAUGGAUAAGUAAUUUGCUGGACUAAAGAAGCUCGAUACAUGGAAAAUGAUAAAUGCGAAUCAAUUAAUACGCUGUCGUUCUAGAAUCAAAAUAACAACUGUAUGACUAACUUUUAUCAGUAAAUACAAAACUGAGUUUGGCGCGCUGAUGCAAAAAAUUA